GGUGGAGCGAUUUGUCUGGUUAAUUCCGAUAACGAACGAGACUCUAGCCUACUAAAUAGACGACACUUCUUUUGAGUGUCGCGCUUCUUAGAGGGACAAGCGGCUUCUAGCCGCACGAAAUUGAGCAAUAACAGGUCUGUGAUGCCCUUAGAUGUCCGGGGCUGCACGCGCGCUACACUGAAGGCAUCAACAUGCAUUCCAACCUACUCCGGAAGGAGCGGGUAACCCGUUGAAACGCCUUCGUGAUUGGGAUAGGGAAUUGCAAUUAUUUCCCUUGAACGAGGAAUUCCCAGUAAGUGCGAGUCAUCAGCUCGCGUUGAU
rnacentral:rRNA from 1 species